GACGAACGCUGGCGGCGUGCUUAACACAUGCAAGUCGAACGAAAAGUCCCGGCCUUUUUGCGCUCCUCUACGUGCCAACGGGUGAGUAACACGUGAGUAACCUGCCCUUGACUUUGGGAUAACUUCAGGCAACUGAGGCUAAUCCCACAUAGGAUCUCCUGCUGCAUGGUGGGGGCUGGAUAGUUUCGCCAGUUGGUGGUGGAAUCGCCGCUUAUCGGCUUGUUGCUUGGGUAGUGGAUGACCAUGACUUGGACGGGUAGCCGGGCUGAGAGGCUCACCGGAUCAGUUGGGACUGGGAUACGGCCCAGACUACUACGGGAGGCAGCGGAGGGGAAUAGUGCAUAAUGGGAGGAAGGAUGAUGUAGCCAAGCCGCGUGGGGGAUGAGAGCAUUGGGGUUGUAAACCGAUUUCGUCUGUGCCGAAGUGUGAGUGACGGUACUGGGUAAAGAAGCACCGGCUAACUACGUG
rnacentral:rRNA from 1 species